UACGGAGGGUGCAAGCGUUAUCCGGAUUCACUGGGUUUAAAGGGAGCGUAGGUGGGUUGGUAAGUCAGUGGUGAAAUCCCCGAGCUUAACUUGGGAACUGCCAUUGAUACUAUCAGUCUUGAAUACUGUGGAGGUUAGCGGAAUAUGUCAUGUAGCGGUGAAAUGCUUAGAUAUGACAUAGAACACCAAUUGCGAAGGCAGCUGGCUACACAAUUAUUGACACUGAGGCUCGAAAAGCGUGGGGGAUCAAAACAGG
rnacentral:rRNA from 1 species